UCAUUGCUGAGGAGUCCCAUACUAGGACGAAACGGCCGUCAAGUGU
rnacentral:hammerhead_ribozyme from 1 species